rnacentral:rRNA from 1 species
AUGGCGGACCUCGCGGUGGGCUUGGCCAAAUCGGUGGUGGAGGGGGCGUUGACCAAGGCCCAGUCGGCCAUCGAGGAGGACUCCAAGCUGCGGCAGAGCGCGCAGCGCGACCUCGUGUUCAUCACUGGCGAGUUCCAGAUGAUGCAGUCCUUUCUGAAGCUCGCCGACGACGAGCGCACCAGGAACAUCGUGGUCAGGACCUGGGUGCGGCAGAUCCGGGAGCUCGCCUACGACGUGGAGGACUGCAUCGAGUUCGUCCUCCACCUCGACAAGAAGUCCCAGUGGUGGCGCCGCCUGCUCCCGCCCUUCGUGUCGGCCGCCAGGCAGCCGCUCGACGAGGCCAUCGCCGAGAUACGGCAGCUCAAGAUCCGGGUGGAGGACGUGAGCUCCAGGAACGCGCGCUACAGCCUCAUCAGCGACUCCGGCUCCAAGCCCGUCGUCGUGCAUCAGCAGCCGCCGUCGGCCGCCCGCGCCGCGAUGGGCGCCACGGCGUUCCACAUGCUCGUCGAGGCGACGGACAUCACGAAGCGGCAGCAUGGGGAUCUCACCCAGCUCAUCACCAAGAAAGACGGCGGCCUCCAGGUGGUCUCCGUGUGGGGGACGGGCGGCGACCUCGGGACGACGUCCAUCAUCAGGAAGGCCUACAGCGACCCGGAGAGCUGCCAGAACUUCGCCUGCCGCGCGUGGGUGAAGCUUGCGCAUCCUUUCAAUCCCCACGACUUCAUCCGGGGAUUGACGGCGCAGUUCUACGCAAACACUUGCCAAGAGUUACACGAAGAGGCACUCAGAGGCGUCCUGACGAGGUCGGAGGCCACCCAAGACGAUUACCUCAAGGAGUUCGUGCGGCAAGUCAAUGAUGUGAGGUAUCUCAUCGUCUUGGAAGACCUGUCCACCAUGGCUGAGUGGGAUGCUAUCAGGACUUUUCUUCCUGACAAGAAGAAUGGCAGCUGGAUCAUCGUGUCCACGCAGCAGUUUGAAAUUGCAAGCUUGUGCGUGGGUCAUUCGUACCAAGUAUUGGAGCUGAAGCAGUUCUCUGCUGACCACUCGGUUUAUGCCUUCAGAGAGGGAUCUCAAGGUGAUAGAGAGAAAGCAGAGGAGAGACCAGCAGAGCAAGGAGUGAGCUCUGAAAAUAUACUCACCUGUAAAAAUAGUGCAGCCACCGAAUGGAUGCAAGAGUACCCGAUCAUUGGACGUGAGUCAGAAAUGAAUGAGCUUCGUCAACAUACAACAUUUGCACGUUUUCACUCUUUUCAAGUUAUAUCUGUUUGGGGAAUAGCUGGUGUUGGGAAAUCAGCUCUCGUAAGAAACUUGUUCUGUGAUAGAAUUCUUGCCAAUGGCCUAUUUGUUAAGUAUGGUUGGGUGGAUGUAUCUCAUCCAUUCAAUUUAAGGGACUUCUCUCGGAGCUUACUUUUGGGUUUUCAUUCUGAAUCACUUCAAGCCAAUGAGACUAUUAACCGUGGAACGAUCAGAUUCGAAAACCCCAUUCAAGAGUGUCGUGAUCUUCUGGAACACCAUCAUUGCCUUGUUGUUAUUGAUGAUCUGCAGUCCAAGAAAGAAUGGGACUUGAUAAAAGCUGCCUUAUUGCCUAGAUCCUCUAAAAAAAGUGUUAUCAUUGCCAUUACGUCAGAAGCAAGCAUUGCCACAUGUUGCGCGGACAAGGAAGAGCUCAUAUUUAAUGUCAAAGGUCUUCAAGCUGAUGCAGCGUCUAGUCUCUUCCACCAAGAGGUACAAAGGAAGAACCCAGACUCCUCUCUGAAGGAUCUCAGAGAAGAAGAAGCAGCUAAACUACAUGAACUUAUUCUCAAGUGUGGCGGGCUUCCACAAGUAAUAGUUGAAAUAGCUGGCAUAUUGGCAAAGAAGACUGUCACACUAAUGGAUACGGUAGGUUCUACCAAUGACAGGUUCAUGCACACAUUGGAGAACAAUCCAGAGUACGACAGUCUACAGGGCCUAUUCAGUUGGAUGUAUUCCUACUUCCGCAGUUGCCCAGAUUCCCUUAAGCCAUGCAUCUUCUACAUGUCACUUUUCCCCCGAGAUCAGAGCCCCCGGCGGAGACGUGUUGUGAGGAGGUGGGUCGCGGAGGGCUACUCCAGGGACAGCGAAGACAAUUCUGCAGAGCAAAAUGGGGAGAAGUUCUUCUCCAAUCUCCUUGACCUGAGUAUUAUCCAGCAUCCACCUCAGUUAGUCACCGCUACUUCAGGAGAUAGAAGGAUGAUCUCGUGCCGCGUCAAUGGUUUCAUCCGGGAGUACAUCGUCUCGCGGCGGAUGGAAGAGAACCUUGUCUUUGAGCUGGAGGGUUGUUGUGAGAUAACCACACAACGCACGGGACGUCACCUUAUCAUAAGGGAGAGCUGGGACAGAGACAAGAUUGUGUUCGAGAGCAUGGACUUCUCCAAGCUACGGUCACUGACGGUGUUUGGGAAGUGGAGACAAUUUUUCGUCUCUGAAAGCAUGAAGCUGCUCCGGGUGCUCGACCUGGAGGAUUCAUUGGAUGUACAGGAUGCCGAUCUCGAGAAGAUGCUAAAGCUGCUGCGUCGUCUCAAGUUCCUCUCGCUGCGAGGAUGCCGUGAGAUUCACCAUUUGCCAAGUUCAGUAGGUGAUCUGAGGCAGCUCCAGACUCUGGAUAUCAGACACACAUUGAUUGUGAACCUACCAGGGAACAUCAAAAAGCUACAGAAGCUGCAGUACAUCCGUGCCGGCACCUCUAUCCAGGCACAGGAAUCAUCAACACCAUGUCUUUCAGUACCAAAGUUCUGCGGACGUCACCGCCAAUUUGGUGUUGUGGUUCCUAGAGGGAUUAACAAACUGACAACGUUGCACACAUUCGGUGUUGUCAACAUUGGUGCAUCAGGCGGGAAAGCCAUCCUUAAAGAGCUCAAAGAUCUGACUCAAUUGCGCAAGCUCGGAGUGUCUGGCAUCAACAGGAGAAACAGCAAGAAGUUCUCCUCUGCAAUCUCACGCCAUGUCCAUUUGGAAUCCUUGUCGGUGCAGCUGGACAAGGGCAGUCAAAGUUGUUUGUCUGGCAUCGUCCUGCCUUUGAAGACGCUGCAGAGUUUUAAACUGCAUGGGCCUGUGGAGAAGUUGCCAGUUUUGAAGAUCGACGAGCUUAGCAUGCUGAUAAAGUUGGAUUUGGAGAUGACCAUAUUGACAGAGGAUGACAUAAAGCUCAUUGGGAGUCUAUCCAAACUAUUCACUCUCCGUAUCAAGCUGCUCCAAGAUAGUAAGGUCCAUUUUUGUGUUAAAGAGGCUGGACUUGAGGUGCCAACUUACCAAAUGGUCAAGGUCCUAGACAUCGGUUUCAACUCAAACUUCGAAGUUACUUUUGGGACAAACACAAUGAGAAGUCUUGAGCUGAUAAAGGCUCACUGCUGCAAUGGUUCUUCAGUGAAGUUCUCCGGCCUGAAUAACGUAACUGAACUCAAGGUACUCUUGCUGAAGGGUUGCUGUGACAACGCACUGAAGGAAGAGCUGGAGAGCCAACUUGCCCAGCAUCCAAACGAACCAGUUUUGGAGCAGGAGGAAUAG